rnacentral:RNase_P_RNA from 1 species
UGGGACGGACGAGGAACCGCCCCCAUACGAUAGAAAUUCAAAAUCCUAUUUUUGUUUCCUUGGACUUUUGAUCGUAAUUCGGUAUAUAUACCAAUACCGGUUUCUAUGUGUGGGGGAGGAACCUCCGGACUCCAAAGGCAGGGCGCCCGUUUAAAUACCACCCACGCAUAGAAAUUCAAAAGCUAUUUUUGUUUUCCUCAGGCUUUUGAUUAUAUUCUUCGGUAUAUGUACCAAUACCGGUUUCUAUGUGUGGGGGGGAAAUAGAGCGGGGAUAAGCGGCUAUAUCCGCUUAUACGGAAAGUGCAACAGAAAAGAUACCGCCCCCAUACGAUAGAAAUUCAAAAUCCUAUUUUUGUUUCCUCAGGUUUUUGAUUGUGCUCUUAGUAUAUAUACCAAUAUCGGUUUCUAUAGUGUGGGGGUAAGGGUGAAAUGGUGCGGUAAGAGCGCACCGUCCGUCGGAGUAAUUCGGCGGCGCAUGGAAAACCCCGCUCGGUGCAAGGCCAAAUACGCGCAUGGGUUGCCUGCCCUUUCCUCUCGGGGAAAACGCGGAGUGGGCCGCUUAGAUAAAUGGUUCCAUAAAACAGAAUCCGGGGUACGGUCCGUCUCAAGAA